UGUAGUGUAGUGAGAUCGACUUUCCUGUGUUACAUACCGUGCUGAUAUUUUAUUUGGAGUGUUCUGUACGCUGCCUCCUGCCACCCGUUCUGGUAAGUAACUCACUCCGAGGUUCCAAUUCACAAAACGCAGUGGCAGAAAACGCUGGAACCAAGUCUAACACAGAGGACGCCAGACGUUUUCGAAAAUAUCCGCUAGGCCUACUGUAUCCACUUCGUUUAACAUGAUACACGGCCAUUUUAAUGGAGGUAGUCAGUGAUAUAAUACAAGUAUUUUAUCAACACGGAUUACGGACAAGCAAAUCACAGAAUGGAUAAAUCUGUAUUUGUGAUAAUAAAACCGCUCUCUUUUCUUACGUAAGAGACCAGUAUGCCGUCUUCGUUGACAGUAAUUACACAUAAUGGGGAAACAUUACUGAUCCCUUUGCACAGGACACAAAUACGAAAACCACGCUUAGACGAAACAAACGGGCUGAGGGAAGGAAAGGACGGGAGCCCAUCGGUGCGGUGGGAUUAAGAGCAGGGGCGUAGCCCCUGAUAAUUACAGUAGGCUAUUCUACGGAGUACCCCGACGAGAUUUGUAUAGGUGUGUGUGUGUAGCUGUGCCUAGGUCCCGAUUCAAAGAAAGAUCGAAUAUUCGCAUGAUUUGCUCACUGGCUUAGCUGGGCAAACCAGAUUGUGGUUUUUCUCUGAAUUUCCAAACUGUAUUUUCCUUUUAUCCGAAAAUAGGUCACGUCCGUUUGCUUUCAACGCAUCACCAACAACAACAACAAUAAUAAUCAUAAUCAUAAACUCCAGUUCACUUACUAUAUUAAAUUGCUUGCCAACAGCAAAGAGGCUAUGACAGGUAAAUAACAGCAAGUAUAUAGAUGAACUAUACACUGUAGAUUGAACACAUUAAAAGAAAAUUAAACUAAAAUAAAUAAUAAAUCCAAACAAUUUUCCAUACAAAAGAAGUGUCUUCAGAGGAGACAUUGCAUACCAAACUGAAGGACUGUGUGCAAGUGAAAUGCUUACGCUGAAAAUAUGCGAUUUUCUUAUUUACCUUGUACACACACGAAUACCGAGUGUUCAAGAUUAAAUGGCAAAUUUGUUUGCUUGUUAAAGCAUUCAUAGAAAAUAUAGCAUCGAUAUGUCGUCUUAAAUGAAAUGUUGUAAAAUGUCAGUAUUUCAGAAUUAGAUUAUAAUCAAGUAAAAUAUCAAACUGAAAAAUAUUAUAGUGACACAAAUUAGCAAAUAUUCUUGCCACAUUUUCAGUUCUAUUGGAGUUAGCCAGUUAACGACAAUGGCGUACUCAAGCUUUGACUUAACUGAAUCGUUACACAGAAUUUUUCAUUGAAAACGCAACCCUAACCAUAACAGUAUUCGUAAGCUUGGAUGACUUAAAUAUGAGAAGAAAACGAGAUGUCUUUCAGUGUUACUUAAACUUUGAGGAGCGUCUCACCGUCAACACCAUUUGACGCUGCUUGUUUUUCCUGUCGCACUCUCGCGGCCUCAAGUACACUAAAGAAGAAUGCAGCUUGAAGUGAAUCCACGUGGACCCAGUUAAAUUGUGCGUUGUUUUGCAUUCAGUAGAUAAGCUUUCUGUCUGUGUUCUGAAGAACGAUAGAAUAAGUGCAGAGUAGUGCUGGUUAGGUAAAGGUAUCUGUAUGUAAACAUUUUUAUUUAUAUUUGCUAAAGUCUUUCGACAAGGCCAGUCGUCGAUACGUUAUAAGUUUACCGAGUAUUUUAAGAAAGCUAAUUCUACAAAUUGGGAUUGUCUCCGGAUUACUGAGUGCCUCAGCUAUGGACGUCAAGGAGGAAGAAUUUCUACGCCGUGAACGUAGGCAACUAAUAUGCCUCAACAGUUCGGUGGACCACUCGAAUGAAGGUCUCGGACCAUCUGCAGACCACAUUUUGGCGGCCUCUGUUGUACAGCAUAAUUAAUAGCUUUGUAUCAGAAGUUCAACAGUACAGGUAUAAUUACCGUGCUUGUGUUCCGAAGUAUAACAUGGCCAAACUUUGCGAAAAGUGUUGAGCGACCUAAGACUUCUUGCACACACGACCUACAGUAGUCUUCAGCGUUAGGAAGAAUAUUGUGACUGACCUUAAUUAGAAAAUAAAUGUUAUCAGGACAUCCAGGGAAAUGUUACACAGCAAAAAAUUGUGUUAAACCGGAAGUAACACAGGAAAACAAAACAAAUCCUGUUUGAGAUUUUUUGGGGUGUUGUCUUCUGGGUUAUUACACAGUACAGAUGGUUAUCAAUGUUUCAGUGACUGUUGUUUUCUCUUGAAUUUUUGUAACCACCCACAGAAUUACACAGUGUCAUAACCGAGAAGACCACAAUAAAUAAAUGGUUAAUUAAUUCUG